rnacentral:rRNA from 1 species
AUGAUUUGCAUUAGUUGGAACUGCCGGGGGCUUGGGAACCCCGAGGCAGUUCGAGAGCUUCGCCGUUUGGUGAAGCAAGAAGGUCCUGCCCUGCUGUUCGUCAUGGAAACCAAAAUCAGGGCUAAAAGAGUAGAAGAUCUGCGAUUCCAUCUUGGAUUUGCGGGCUGUUUUGCGGUGGAUAGUGUUGGACUAAGCGGAGGUAUUGGCCUCUUC